AAAAAUCUUCUAGGAGCAGCUAACAAGAAUCCUAAUACAGGAGUGUUUAUGGUUGGGUUGAGACACAUUCAGUAGCUGAGUGAUUGACAGCAAGAGGAGCAAGACAUGAGGUUAAUAAUUAUCAAAUAUAUGGCAAUGCUGGACUUUAGCUGAUCAUCGUGCUUCUGGAAAACAACAAAAAUUGAGAUAUCUGUUCACCACUUUGUGUGUCCAAGGACCACCUACUUUUUACAUGUGACAAGAACUACCCACCUCCACUCUUCAGGAUAGAACAUGCUGAAGAAAAGAGUUGCAAUGAGAAAAUAUAUGGGAACAAAAUACCUAUGCAAUGCAGAAGUCUGCAUAACUGAACCACUCAGAGGAAAAAGUUUCCCUCCCAGGCUGGAGUACAAUGGCGCGACCUCGGCUCACUGCAACUUCCACCUCCCAGUUCAAGCAAUUCUCCCACCUCAGCUUCCUUAGUAGCUGGGAUUACAAGUGCCUGACACCAGGCCAAGCUAUUUUUGUAUUUUUAGUAGAGACGGGGUUUCACCAUUUUGACCAGGCUGGUCUCAAACUCCUGACCUCAGUCCAUCGGUCCACCUCGGCCUCCCAAAGUGCUGGGAUUGCAGGCAUGAGCCACCGCUCCUGGCCUCAAGUUUAAUUCUUAAAUUGCCAUUUCAGGACACCUCCUACAUCUGAGGAAAUAUGCAUUGAUCUUGCAGUACUUUUCUCCUCCAAAUAAAAGUCUAAGCCAAAGGACACUUCAGUUAUCCAAUCUUG
rnacentral:lncRNA from 1 species